GCAAGUAUGAAUGUUUGGCUGUGGGGCCUGUGGUGUGAUUCUACUCUAUAGCUGGAGGUUUAAUAAUCAAUUAUAUUAAAGCUUUUCUGUAAGUCUCAAACAGGGUUUGUCUGGGUCUUAUUUACUGUAAUAGGCACAUUAGGGAAACGGGUUUAAUUUAUAUUUCAAUUCAGUAUUUUUUUCAUGAUUGUCAAAAACAAACCUGAUUUGGGCUUUAAUGAUGGUGGGAAUUGUCUGCACCUCCCCCUCCCCCCAAAAAAAAACCCUGAAAUUUCCUUAUGAUGCCAUUAA
rnacentral:lncRNA from 1 species